UGGAGGGAGGGGCUGGGACAGAUCCCGACGUCCGUGUCCACAGCAGCAGGUGGAGGGAGCCCCCGGGAUGCACACCCGCAGAACACCGCGAACCCGGGCAGCCCUGUACCCACAGUGGGUGGUGCGCCUCAAAAGGCAUCCUGCCAAAUGCCACGACCAGCGGACCCCAGGGACCCCGGGACGUCAUGGGAGUGAAGCAGCCCAGCGGCCAGCGGAAAGGCCAGCCUUUGGAGGACAGUGACGUGCACCCACCAGCACAGCAUCCUGCACCACAGUCUCGCUGCACCUGCUCGUCCUGCGUUCCCUCCCCACCAACCUGGCAACCAAGGAUUCAUUCACUCGGCCCUAGGGUUGGUUUUUCCAGAAUGCCACCCUGCUGGAAUCAUGGAAUGCAGCCUUUUUUCUUUUUCUUUUUGGUAUCUAGGGUCUGGCCCAUGCCAGGUGUGGUGGCGCACGCCUGUAAUCCUAGCAGCUCAGGAGGCUGAGGCAGGAGGAUCACAAGUUCAAAGGCAGCCUCAGCAGCUCAGCAAGGCUCUAAGCAACUCAGCAAGACCCUGCCUCUCUAUAAAACCUAAAAAAGGGCUAAACACACACACACACACACACACACACACACACACACACUCCUUUUCGUAAAUUUGCCCUGAAGUUCAACUGACAGGUGGUUUCUAUCCCAAUUACUCCCUCCUGUUUUCUCUGGUCUUUUCACCUGCUUUCCUAAUUUAUUGUCAUAUUCCAACAGAUUUAUUGAGGUACGAUUCACACCCUAUACAACUCACUGAAGUGUAAAGUGGCCCAUUCAAUGGUUUCUCACAGAGUUGGGCAACUGUCACCACCAUCUAAUUUUAGAACACUUUCAUCACCACCAAAGGAAACCUCGUCCCCCUGAGCAGUCACUCCUGUCCCUGUGCCACCCCUGCCCUCUGCUCUGGGCAACUGCUGAUCCCCUUCCUGUCACGGACGGGAGGCCUGCAGGCUGCUCCGUGUGUGCCUGGGCUUCCCUCCCCCGUUACCGGGCCCUCUCCAGGGUCCCUCCGCGGGCAGCAUGUGCGCGUCAGCUUCAGACCUCUGACGCCUGAGAGCGUUCCAUUUCACUGAUAGACACUCUGCUUAGCCAGUGAUCGAUGGCAUCUGGGUCGUUUCCAAUUUGGCGCUAUUAGGAGUCAUGUGGCUAGGGACCUCCGUGGGCGAGUUUCUGUGGAGCCGUGGGCUUCAGGAAUGGGCUGCCUGGUUGGUGACCCCUGCUCACUGCCUUGAGGGUUGCCCAGACUCUGGGCAUGGGACUUUCCCUCCAGCAGUGUCUGGCUUCUCCUUACCUUGCCCACACUUAUAUCAUCUGCCUUUUAUUUUAGCCACCCUGGUGGAUGUGAGGAGGCAUCUCACUGUGGCCUCGAUUUGCAUUUCCCCAGUGACAAAUGAUGUCGAUCAUCUUUUAAGGUGCCUCUUGGCAUUCUCUUCCUUAAAGAAACAUCAAUUCAAAUAUGUCCUCAUUCUACAACUGGUUUGUCUUUUUUUUUUUGAAUAUACAUAUAUUUAGUUGUAGAUGGACACCAAACCUUUAUUUUACCUAUUUAUCUUAGGGCCUCACACAUGGUAGGUGAGGCCCUCUACCGCUGAGGCCCAACCCCAGCCCCUUAUUCUUGAGUUAUAGGUUUUCUUGAUGUAUUCUGGAUGUAGGUCUCUUGUUAUACAUAUGACUUGCAACAUCGUCUCCUAUCCCUUCAUUAGUCUUUUGAACCCUUUUUGUUUGUUCAUUUGGCCGCACUAGUGUGGGACCCAGGGCCUCGCACGUGCUAGGUGAGCGCUGUACCCUGAGCCCCGGCCCCAGCCCCCCCCCCCCGCCCUCCUUUUACUUUCUAUUCUGAGACAGGCCUCACGACACACUCAGGGGCUUCUUUCCUGUGGGGUCGGUAGCGGUGUCUCCUUCUCAUUCCUGAGUGUGAGAACUGAGCUUCCGUCUUGUUCCUGGGCGUCCGCGGAAGGGUUGUUGACUCUGUUAAACUGUUGGAGGAAGAUGUCUUUGGCUUCAUGGAUUCCCUCUAUUUUCUAUUCUCUGUUUUAUUCAUCUCUGCCCUGAUAUUUAUUUCCUUCUGCUCGCCUUGAAUUCGUGCUUUCUGAACUCUUUCCCCCCCAGGGCGAGGGUCAUCACUUGCCACAUGAAAAAUGAUUUAUCUGAACAAAUAAUCGGGGGACAUGCUGAAUUUGACCGUGCUGAAUAGUUUUAUCUUGUUUGUGUUUUCAGCUGUCUGGCUUUUGAGAGCCUCUGCUGUUUUCACAAUAUUGAGAGUUCCUCAGAGGCAGGUUCAAUGUGCAGGACUUUCAACAGUUCACUGAGGGACAGGGGCUGUGGCUCCGGCAGAGCACUCACCUAGCACGUGGGAGGCGCUGGGUUCCAUCCUCAGCUCCACAUGAAAAUAAAUAAAUAAAACAAAGGUUUGUGUCCGACUACAAUGAAAAAAUAUUUUUUAAAAAAUAAAGGUAUUGUGUCCAUCUACAA